GCACUACAAUGCACCUUUACUUCCCCAUCCAACUCCAUUCAACUCUCAAAAGUGGGCAAUACCAACAGGUGAAUUUUCCAUGAAUAAUGGGCUCUUCCUUGUAAACGUGAAUUUAAACCAGGAGAACCACAGUCUGAAAUACAUACCACUAACCAACCAACUAUAUGCACAUACUACCUGUCGACACACAGAAUGGACUUUCGCUUCAACGCUCAACUGACUGACUUCCCUUCCCUUUUUGGAGGUAAGUGUCGUCUUGAGAAUGGAAUUCUGGUGGCCACGGCCAAGGUGAGAGUUGAGUGACAUUGGCCCAAUUUCGUGAAGGUGAAUUUUUAGAGGACAAGGUUUGCCUGGCCCAGUUCCUUGAGGAUGAGUCUCGUCGUUAUGUAUUAAUAACUUGAUUUACUUUAAUGUGGAUGCUCCAGGUGGUUAAUUGCGAUGAUUGUUUACUACUUGACGAGCGUGUGCACAUUUCACACACGGUAAAUAUUUUUUUACAGAAAAAUUGCUGGAAAUUAUACGAAAUUAAUUUUGAUAAAAGUAUUUUGUCAAAAUUCUUCAUUUUUUGUAACGAAUUUUUACCUGUGUGGUUAUGUUUUUAGUACACUUUCCUCUAAGAAAAGAUACAACCUCUAAAAUGUGUGAUCUAAUUUUAGGUAAACGGUUCAUUUGAGAAGAAGAAAGUGUGGGCAAUAAAAGUGAAAAAUGUUGGAACUUUCUGAACUCAGCUCAUAUAACGAUUUUCACGUCGUUCGCAAUAUUUCAAAUAAAUCUGGAGCAAUAAAAGGGAGAAAAGUAUGUACACGUGAUGGGUGAUUAUUUUUUUUUUAUUGUGGACAAUCACCAGCCAUCCAGUGACCCAUUUUACCGCACGGUAAUAGUUUGUCACCGUACUGAGAUAAAGUAACACCAGAAACAUAACGAACCCCAUUUAAAUUGGUUUGUUACCAACGCCUUACAUUUUUUAUUACCGGAAUUUUAAGAGGGACUUUUGGGGAACUAGUAAAAAUUCGGCAAAAAGCAAUCACACGCUGUAUGUUGGGUAGUUAAUUAUAAAGUUAAUUAGUACAGAGAGUUCAAAAUGUAUAACCACUUACGAUUUGAUGUUCGGCCGAAAGUCGCUGCUUUCUCCUUUGAAGCUCUUCAUAUUUCAGCUGAAAUUAAACAACAAUUUGAAUUUUAGACACUUCAUAGGAUUAAAAACGUUCCAAAUUAUGCAGCAAUAAAUGUUUAUGCAGGGAUCAAUUGAUAUUAUUUUUAGUAUUGCGACCAUUUCGUUUCGUUUCGGUGAAGUGCGUAUAUAAAAAGACUGACCUAAUUGAACUCUAAAAUGACAACGACCGUUGAAUGAGAAACCUUUUGCCUAAUUUCAAUUUCAAAGAUUUUUUAUGUACGCAAAUUUUUACUGUUAAUUUUCAUAAAAAUAUAUAUUGCGCAGGUAGUAUGCAUAAAUCUUGUGAUCUUGGCAAAAAAAAGUAUCCUCAACAUACUUAACUUGCACAUACUCUGUAAAUUGUAUCCUCUAAUGUAAUGAACCAAUUUACUUUAGAUAAGUUGUCAGGAUGCAUUCUUCUCUCCUGCAAAGAAGAAAUGAAGUGGAUCAUGAAAAGAGAAAGUGAACGUUUGUUUUGAACUUGAGACGAUGGAAUCCAUCCUCUCAAAAGAGAAAGCAAAAAUGAAAAUGGGAAUUGUGAAAGUUGCUCAUCAAAUAUUCACAACCCACUUUGUCCGGUGAACGCUCCAACUAUUUUUACGGUAACAGUUUGUUACCAAGAGUGAAUUUUUAUAUCAAUCUGUCAACGAAUUAUUAUUUUGCGGAACUAUUAUAAAUGCAGCUAGGUUGAUGUUCUUACUCGAAAUAUUGCAAAAUUAGUUAAUUUUAAUAUGACUGACUAUUUUUGCGUAUUUCAUGCAAUAAAAAAUUAAUUUUGAAAUUACUGAUUUGUUUACAUUGGUGGAUAAAAAUUUGCCACCGAUGAUAUGGCAAAACUUUAAUACUGAGUUAUUAACUUACGGUAUUUGUUAUUCAUAUCUCGUAAGUAGCAUAUUCAUAGUUGGUAUUAUUUUAAUACAGAAUUUGUAAAAAUGCGCCUAAAAAAUUUCGAAAAUAAUUGAAAAAUUAAAAAAUCACGGAAAAACAUCAAGUAUUGUAUAAAAAUGCCGUAUUUUGCUACAGUUAUUUGAGCCGACUCAUCUUCAGUGGUGCAACCUUAGUCCUCAAAAACCUUGAAAUUCUUAAAUUAAUUUUAUGAAUUUUAAUUUAAAUACAAUUACGUCAUCUAAUUUGACACUUUGUAACAUAUUCUUUUACAAUUCGGAUACCUAAUUAAUCCAAACCUAAAACAAAUAAAUAUCUAAAAUUGUGAAUUGCAACUAAAAUUGUGAAUUGCAACUAAAAUU